rnacentral:rRNA from 1 species
GCCGCGGUAACACAUGCAAGUUGAACGGGGUUAUUAUGGAAGUUCCUUCGGGGACGGAAGUUCUAACUUAGUGGCGAACGGGUGAGUAACGCGUGAGAAACCUGCCUCUCAGUGGGGGACAACAGGUGGAAACGACUGCUACUACCGCAUGACACUUUAGUAUCGCAUGAUACAGAAGUCAAAGCUUUAUGUGCUGAUGAGAUGGUAUCGCCUCUGAUUAGCUAGAUGGCGGGGUAACGGCCCACCCUGGCGACGAUCAGUAGCCGGGCUGGAAGAAGAAACGACCACAUUGGGACUGAGAUACAGCCCAGACUCCUACGGGACGCAGCAGUGGGGAAUAUUUGGCAAAGGGGGAAACCCUGACCCAGCAACGCCGCGUGAAGGAAGAAGGCUUUCGGGUUGUAAACUUCUUUUACCAGGGACGAAGGACGUGACGGUACCUGGAGAAAAAGCAACGGCUAACUACGUGCCAGCAGCCGCAGUAAAAC